rnacentral:rRNA from 1 species
CGGCGGACGGGUGAGUAACGCGUGGGUAACCUACCCCAAAGUCCGGGAUAACAGCGGGAAACCGCUGCUAAUACCGGAUGCCUUUACCUUGGGGCAUCUUGAGGUAAAGAAAGGUAACGCUUUGGGAUGGGCCCGCGUCCCAUUAGCUAGUUGGUGAGGUAACGGCUCACCAAGGCGACGAUGGGUAGCCGGCCUGAGAGGGUGGGCGGCCACACUGGGACUGAGACACGGCCCAGACUCCUACGGGAGGCAGCAGUAGGGAAUAUUGCGCAAUGGACGGAAGUCUGACGCAGCGACGCCGCGUGAGCGAUGAAGGUCUUCGGAUCGUAAAGCUCUGUCCUUGGGGAAGAAGGUCUUCGGACUUGACGGUACCCAAGAAGAAAGCCCCGGCUAACUACGUGCCAGCAGCCGCGGUAAUACGUAGGGGGCGAGCGUUGUCCGGAAUUACUGGGCGUAAA